GAUGAACGCUGGCGGAAUGCUUUACACAUGCAAGUCGAACGGCAGCACGGACUUCGGUCUGGUGGCGAGUGGCGAACGGGUGAGUAAUGUAUCGGAACGUGCCCAGUCGUGGGGGAUAACGUAGUGAAAAUUACGCUAAUACCGCAUACGAUCUAUGGAUGAAAGCGGGGGAUCGCAAGACCUCGCGCGAUUGGAGCGGCCGAUAUCAGAUUAGGUAGUUGGUGGGGUAAAGGCCCACCAAGCCAACGAUCUGUAGCUGGUCUGAGAGGACGACCAGCCACACUGGAACUGAGACACGGUCCAGACUCCUAAGGGAGGCAGCAGUGGGGAAUUUUGGACAAUGGGCGAAAGCCUGAUCCAGCCAUUCCGCGUGCAGGAUGAAGGCCCUCGGGUUGUAAACUGCUUUUGUACAGAACGAAAAGGUUUCUACUAUUACUAGGAGCUCAUGACGGUACUGUAAGAAUAAGCACCGGCUAACUACGUGCCAGCCGCCGCGGUAA
rnacentral:rRNA from 1 species